rnacentral:rRNA from 1 species
UACGAAGGGGGCUAGCGUUGCUCGGAAUCACUGGGCGUAAAGCGCACGUAGGCGGCUUACUAAGUCAGGGGUGAAAUCCUGGAGCUCAACUCCAGAACUGCCUUUGAUACUGGUGAGCUUGAGUCCGGAAGAGGUGAGUGGAACUGCGAGUGUAGAGGUGAAAUUCGUAGAUAUUCACAAGAACACCAGUGGCGAAGGCGGCUCACUGGUCCGGUACUGACGCUGAGGUGCGAAAGCGUGGGGAGCAAACAGG